UACGUAGGGUGCGAGCGUUGUCCGGAAUUAUUGGGCGUAAAGGGCUCGUAGGCGGUUUGUCGCGUCGGGAGUGAAAACUCAGGGCUUAACCCUGAGCCUGCUCCCGAUACGGGCAGACUAGAGGUAUGCAGGGGAGAACGGAAUUCCUGGUGUAGCGGUGAAAUGCGCAGAUAUCAGGGGGAACACCGGUGGCGAAGGCGGUUCUCUGGGCAUUACCUGACGCUGAGGAGCGAAAGUGUGGGGAGCGAACAGG
rnacentral:rRNA from 1 species